CGACGGGGUGAGUAACGCGUAGGCACGUACCCGCGAAGUGAGAGAUCAGCAGCAGACAAUGGGGUCUAUAGCCACAUAGCUAUGAGGCGUAGGGGCUAGGCGCGUUGGGAAGGGCCUGCGUCCGAUUAGCUAGUUGGUGAGGUAAUGGCUCACCAAGGCGAUGAUCGAUAUCUGGUCUGAGAGGGAUGAACAGACACACUGGGACUGAGACACGGUCCAGACUCCUACGGGAGGCAGCAGUGAGGGAAUUCUUGCGACAGAUGGGCGGUGAAGCCUGAAUGCGAGCUACGCCGCGUGCGACGGAUGGUCAGUGCCGUUCAGGGGAUCGUAACCUCGCUUUCUGAUACUGUGACAGAUUAUGACGGUACGCGACUAUGAAUAGCACUCG
rnacentral:rRNA from 1 species